rnacentral:rRNA from 1 species
GACGAACGCUGGCGGCGUGCUUAACACAUGCAGGUCGAACGGAAAGGCUCCAGCUUGCUGGAGUACUCGAGUGGCGAACGGGUGAGUAACACGUGGGUAAUCUGCCCUGCACUCUGGGAUAAGCCUGGGAAACUGGGUCUAAUACUGGAUAUGACCUUUCUCCUUAUGGGGUUUGGUGGAAAGUUUUUCGGUGUAGGAUGAGCCCGCGGCCUAUCAGCUUGUUGGUGGGGUGAUGGCCUACCAAGGCGACGACGGGUAGCCGGCCUGAGAGGGUGAUCGGCCACAUUGGGACUGAGAUACGGCCCAGACUCCUACGGGAGGCAGCAGUGGGGAAUAUUGCACAAUGGGCGGAAGCCUGAUGCAGCGACGCCGCGUGAGGGAUGACGGCCUUCGGGUUGUAAACCUCUUUCAGCAGGGACGAAGCGUAAGUGACGGUACCUGCAGAAGAAGCACCGGCUAACUAUGUG